rnacentral:rRNA from 1 species
CCUACGGGAGGCAGCAGUGAGGAAUAUUGGUCAAUGGGCGCGAGCCUGAACCAGCCAAGUCGCGUGAAGGAUGAAGGCUCUAUGGUUUGUAAACUUCUUUUAUAAGGGAAUAAAGUGAGGGACGCGUCCCGCUUUGCAUGUACCUUAUGAAUAAGGAUCGGCUAACUCCGUGCCAGCAGCCGCGGUAAUACGGAGGAUCCGAGCGUUAUCCGGAUUUAUUGGGUUUAAAGGGUGCGUAGGCGGCCUGUUAAGUCAGCGGUGAAAGUCUGUGGCUCAACCAUAGAAUUGCCGUUGAUACUGGGCGGCUUGAGUAUAGUUGAGGUAGGCGGAAUGCGUGGUGUAGCGGUGAAAUGCUUAGAGAUCACGCAGAACCCCGAUUGCGAAGGCAGCUUACCAAGCUAUGACUGACGUUGAUGCACGAAAGCGUGGGGAUCAAACAGGAUUAGAUACCCGGGUAGUC